rnacentral:rRNA from 1 species
AUUGAACGCUGGCGGCAUGCUUUACACAUGCAAGUCGAACGGUAACAGGCCGCAAGGUGCUGACGAGUGGCGAACGGGUGAGUAAUGCAUCGGAACGUGCCCAGUCGUGGGGGAUAACGCAGCGAAAGCUGUGCUAAUACCGCAUACGAUCUGUGGAUGAAAGCGGGGGACCGUAAGGCCUCGCGCGAUUGGAGCGGCCGAUGUCAGAUUAGGUAGGUGGUGGGGUAAAGGCUCACCAAGCCGACGAUCUGUAGGUGGUCUGAGAGGAAGACCAGACACACUGGGACGGAGACACGGCCCAGACUCCUACGGGAGGCAGCAGUGGGGAAUUUUGGACAAUGGGCGCAAGCCUGAUCCAGCAAUGCCGCGUGCAGGAAGAAGGCCUUCGGGUUGUAAACUGCUUUUGUACGGAGCGAAAAGGCUCUCUCUAAUACAGGGGGUUCAUGACGGUACCGUAAGAAUAAGCACCGGCUAACUACGUGCCAGCCGCCGCAGUAAUAC